UGUCUCUUCUUACAGCAUCGAUCAUCAACCAGCCACCUGCUUAGAGCCUGUCCUUCCCAGAAUCCUCUGCUCUUCCUGGCAUUGGUCAGUGCUUCCAGAUUCUCAGCCUGCUCACAGAACAACACCCUCUGGAGUGCUCUGGCUAUGUCACGGUCAUGAAGAGAAGCAGCUGGCAAGAACCAUGUACAUGAGUGCCCAUGGAGGCCAGAGGCAUCAGAUCCCCUGGAGCUGAAGUUACAGGUGGUUGGUGGUGAUGGGAACCAAACUCAGGCCCUGUGCAAUCAGAGAUGCCAUUGCUCAAGCUCACACAGCUACGCAUGAGGAGAACCCAGGAUUCCUGCUCACGAUUCUUUGUUCCUUUCAAGCCUGCAGCUUUCUCUGUCAG
rnacentral:lncRNA from 1 species